GUGCGUGCCAAGUUAAAAUGUAUUGCGUUCAUUGUUUACAUUUUAUUUUUUAAUCCAUCUUAAAAUAAAAAUAACAAAUUAAGAAUUAAAUUCAGAGUUAAGUAUUUCCGGAAAGCAUUUACUUACCAUUUCAACAACUACGAGUAGGUUUUGCACCAAGUUUACCUCCUGAGCUAAUAUGGGAGCAAAACUGGAUUUUGGAUUGAAUGAAAUGUAAUAGUUGGUGAUGCAAAACGACAUUCAAGAUACAAUAUUCCAUUGAGUUGUACCAAUGAUUGAAGAGGUACUUGAAGUUCAGAGGCACGCCGCAAUCUUCAACUCCGACACAUCUCUACAGAGAACAGAGGAUGCGGAUUACGACAACACUCCGCAUACAAUGCAAUCCUGUAGACAACACUAAAGUCACAAAAAGUGGAUCCACAGUGAAAGUGGACAAUGUACUGCAACAAACCUGAUGAUCUUUCACGGCACACAGACAUCGAACUGCAGAGGCCAAGACUCUCAGGUUAAAUGGUUCAUGACUGGUGAGCACGGAUUAAUGACUUCAGCGCUACUGCUUUGUUCCUGUGUUGUGUUUCCUCCCCCCGCCCCCACAAUCUCUGCAUGUUACUUUCUUUCUUUCUUUCUUUACUUCUUUCUUUCUUUCUUUCUUUCUUUCUUUCUUUCUUUCUUCUUUCUUUCUUUCUUUCUUUCUUUCUCAAAGAGAUCUUGCAGAGUCAGCAACCAGCUAUGGGUUUUGAUCUAAUUUGAGGAUGGUGAAAACGCUUAUCUGUUGUGUUGGCAGUAAAAUGACUCUGCAUUAUCUCCUUUUCAGUCACAAUCUCCUGCACAUGAGAGGCAAUUAUCUUGACAGGAUCUGGCAUUAAAGGCAAUACCUUCCCUGUGGCAUUAACAUUUACAUUUUUGCUUCCUCUCCUUAAAAGCAUCGAUUAACGUGUACAUUAAAUUGCAUUUUUACUGAGCAGUCACAACUUUAAAAAAAAAAACAUUUUCCUUACUGAGAUGUGUCAUUGAGCGUUACGUUAGAAAUGCUAUUGCAAACAAUGCCAUUGGCAAUAAAUUAAAGUGCUUAAACAGAGUUUGUAUUUUAAAACAUACAAGUGAUGAUCGUGAGGUGUCAUGUUUGACAAUCAAACGUCACAAUAUUUUCUAUUGCUAUCAAUGACAAAACCGAACCCCCUGCUACCGUAAUAUUUUACCCAAUUUCUAGAAAGGGAGUUACAAUUCUUUUCAUACCUGUGAAAUGAACCGCCAUGUACGAACCAGUGAGAACCACCUCUACGCUUCACACUUUUCACCUUAACACAUUUUAAAAAUAAAAUGUAUGAUUGUUAUUACAGUUAUGAUUAUAUCAUAACAAUACUGUAUUUGUUGCUGUUAUUAUUACAUAUCCUCUUUUCACCAAAUGCAUCUCACAGACAUCUGCAAUGUCAUAUUUUUACUUCAUUUCCCAUUCACAGCAGUAAUCCAUCAGCUUUUUUUUCUUUUUAAAUGUGAUGCAAACCUGCCAACAUUGCAAGAUGAUUACAUUUAGAUGGGAUCAUUAUUAUAACAUGAAAUUUCAGGUCCUAUAGCGAACAGGAAACACUCUGUUUACUUUACAAG